rnacentral:rRNA from 1 species
GAUGAACGCUGGCGGCGUGCCUAAUACAUGCAAGUCGAGCGAACAGACGAGGAGCUUGCUCCUCUGACGUUAGCGGCGGACGGGUGAGUAACACGUGGAUGACCUACCUAUAAGACUGGGAUAACUUCGGGAAACCGGAGCUAAUACCGGAUAAUAUAUUGAACCGCAUGGUUCAAUAGUGAAAGACGGUUUUGCUGUCACUUAUAGAUGGAUCCGCGCCGCAUUAGUUAGUUGGUAAGGUAACGGCUUACCAAGGCAACGAUGCGUAGCCGACCUGAGAGGGUGAUCGGCCACACUGGAACUGAGACACGGUCCAGACUCCUACGGGAGGCAGCAGUAGGGAAUCUUCCGCAAUGGGCGAAAGCCUGACGGAGCAACGCCGCGUGAGUGAUGAAGGUCUUCGGAUCGUAAAACUCUGUUAUUAGGGAAGAACAAAUGUGUAAGUAACUAUGCACGUCUUGACGGUACCUAAUCAGAAAGCCACGGCUAACUACGUG